CGCGUAGGCGGGUGGCCGCGUCCGGGGUGAAAUCCUCCCGCUUAACGGGAGAACGGCCUCGGAUACGGGUCAUCUCGAGAGGGGUAGGGGCAUGCGGAACUGUGGGUGGAGCGGUGAAAUGCGUUGAUAUCCACAGGAACUCCGGUGGCGAAGGCGGCGUGCUGGACCCUUUCUGACGCUGAGGCGCGAAAGCCAGGGGAGCGAACG
rnacentral:rRNA from 1 species